CUCCUUUCCAAGCCAUGUUGCAAGAAGAGGAAAUGGAGCCAGCACUGCACUUGGCAAGAGCAGGUGGGCAGAAGGCCAAGCCUCAAGUAGGGUUGGUUGUAUUUGUUCUGGCUUGGGUAGCAACAGCAACGACAUGAGAAGGGGCAAAUGAUAUUUACUCUGCCUGCACCAGAAUCUCAGGAAAGGAUAGGGCUCCAUGGUGCAGCCUCUGCCCCAGGACCUGAGUGGUCCUGCCCAGCAACCAUGAGCUCCAAAGCUGGCUGGACCCAUGUCUUUUCUACAAAGGGAUCCAGCUACACCUGUGUCCAGGUCCCUGAGAUUGCUGGGACCCUGGACAUGCUCAGCAGCGGGACUGGCCCUUGAGGGUCUCCCUAUGUAGCCCAAGCUGGCCUCAAGCUUGUGAUCCUCCUGCCUCAGCCUCCGAGUACCUGGGAUUACAGGUGUGCACCACCACGCCUGGCUUGGAAGAAACUCUUACUGAGCCUCCAUGUGGCACGCGAAGCUCUAAGCUGGAAACACGCAGCCAGGGGCUUAGCUGCUCCUGCUGCUGAGCUACUGAACUAGAGGCCGGGUCAGAUGCAGCCACCCCUGCUUUGCUGUCUUCAGGCCCCCACGGGUCCGUUCCUGACCUGGUUUUGGAUGGAAUAUGACUCAGCCCUCAGCAGGACGCCAACCAGAAGUGCUCCGUUCUCUGCAGGCACAAGACACAGGAAAGAGUCACUGCCUGUUGGGAAUGCUCUGAGUGUUUAGGAGAAGAGAACUGACUUCAGGGCCCAGAAUAAAUAUCCUCCUGAAGAGGACUGCAGGAACAGGAGAGCACUCCGGAGAUCUCUAUCUUGGGUUCUAACAAGGACCAAGUGGGAGAUGGCGGCAGUUGUUGGAGAUGGAAACUGUGUUUGCCCAAAGCUGUGUGCUGCGGAGGAGCGGUGGGUUGGAAGCUGCUGAGGACCAGGGCGGUGAAGCGAGGACCAGCCUGAGGGACUCGGGGAGGGAAGCUCGAGAGAAAGAGGAGAUUGCAGUGAGCUGAAGGUAAAGCCAAGGAGAUUACCGAAAGCCGGCAUGGGGGCUGCCUCGCCUCCCGCUGGGUCCAGGUCCCGGCAGCCUGUCCCGCCACCCUCCCCGGCCCUGCAGUGCCCUCCUCUCUCCCAGGCUGGAGGCCUGGUCCCUGCUCCCUCUCCACCCCUUGGACUCCACUUCCUCUUCCACACAGAGAUGUCCUCUGCUCCACCAGGCCUCUUCUGCGCCUUGGUCCCUCAGGCCGAUCCCCACACCCACUGACCCAGUGCCCACUGAGCUACCCCCUGGUCCCAGCCUCACUCCCUCCGGUCCCAGAGACCCCUGCCACAGCCACAGCCCAGGCUCUGGCUGCGAUGCAGCUUGUUCCUCCUCCUCAGUCUGCUGCAUGGCUGCGUGACACCAGCCUCCACCACUUUCUUCCUCUCUCAGCCUGGCCCUUUUGCCACCUGUCAUACACGGCCCUGUGGUGUCCCAAGUGGGUGGGUAGCUGGAGGACUUCUGUGGUCAAGGAUGUCCCUCUCCAUGCCGUGCGCACGCUCCUUCACAAGGCAGUCACAGCGACCUGUUGCAUUCCAAAGACCCAUGCCUGAAGUUCAGUGCUCCGGGCCACUGUCACCACCGACCUCUGUCAGCUCUCUGUAAGCUGCCCCCACCUACACCCCGAGGUGGCAGAGCCCAGCUGCUGGCAGAGCCCCUGCCUGCCCCACCCAGCCGCAGCACGGUGCUGCCGAGCCUCCUCCUCGGGCUCCGCCUGGCCCUCUGCUCCAGGUGGCCCUGUGUGUGUCUCCUCUGGGACCACGGGCGACAAACUGUCUCCCCAGUACCCAUCGUCUCCCCGUCAUGGGCCUUGGUACUUCGAGCUGCAUUUCCACACUGCUGGCCCUGAUGUCCCCUCGUGGCUCAAGCUUGCGUAACCCUCCCUUGCUCCAGCCCGGCCGCUCCUCCCCGCAGCGGGGACAGCUGGGCUGAGCCAUGGGUGCAGGUCACAGAAUUGUGGCCCCACGUCCUACUCUGGCUAACAUUGUGGACAAGUG
ensembl:lncRNA